rnacentral:rRNA from 1 species
GACGAACGCUGGCGGCGUGCUUAACACAUGCAAGUCGAACGGAAAGGCCUCUUUCGGGGGGUACUCGAGUGGCGAACGGGUGAGUAACACGUGAGUAACCUGCCCUUGACUUUGGGAUAACUUCAGGAAACUGGGGCUAAUACCGGAUAGGAGCUCCUGCUGCAUGGUGGGGGUUGGAAAGUUUCGGCGGUUGGGGAUGGACUCGCGGCUUAUCAGCUUGUUGGUGGGGUAGUGGCUUACCAAGGCUUUGACGGGUAGCCGGCCUGAGAGGGUGACCGGCCACAUUGGGACUGAGAUACGGCCCAGACUCCUACGGGAGGCAGCAGUGGGGAAUAUUGCACAAUGGGUGGAAGCCUGAUGCAGCAACGCCGUGUGCGGGAUGACGGCCUUCGGGUUGUAAACCGCUUUCGCUCAUGACGAAGCUUUGUGUGACGGUAGUGGGUAAAGAAGCACCGGCGAACUACGU